rnacentral:rRNA from 1 species
GAUCCCAUUCCGAACUCCGAAGUCAAGCCCGCCUGCGGCAAUGGUACUGCACCUUUAGGUGUGGAAGAGUAGCUCGGUGCAGCCU